rnacentral:snRNA from 1 species
UCCACAAGAUGCUUAUGUAACCUUUCAUUGUUCAAAUUUUUGGAGGCACUAGGUAGUAGGCAAAUUUAGGAAAACUAGUGCCA